rnacentral:rRNA from 1 species
UACGUAGGGUGCAAGCGUUGUCCGGAAUUAUUGGGCGUAAAGAGCUCGUAGGCGGUUUGUCGCGUCUGCUGUGAAAACUCGGGGCUUAACCCCGGGCCUGCAGUGGGUACGGGCAGACUAGAGGUAUGCAGGGGAGAACGGAAUUCCUGGUGUAGCGGUGAAAUGCGCAGAUAUCGGGAGGAACACCUAUUGCGAAGGCAGCUCGCUGGGACGUUACUGACGCUGAGACGCGAAAGCGUGGGGAGCAAACAGG